GUGAAUCAUCGAAUCUUUGAACGCAAAUUGCACUCUCCGCGGAGAGGAUGAGUGUUUGAGGGUCAGACUAUAAAAAAACGACAUCGUGGCUGUUUCGCGGGGGCGGUGGUCGGAAAUUGGGUUAUCUUAAAUCUGUUGGUAUUAAGCGACUUAAAAUUUUCUUUUUGGUUCCAUGAACGAUUCUAAGAUUUAUUUCUUUACACGUUUAUGG
rnacentral:misc_RNA from 1 species